UACGAAGGGGGCUAGCGUUGCUCGGAAUCACUGGGCGUAAAGCGCACGUAGGCGGACUCUUAAGUCGGUGGUGAAAUCCUGGAGCUCAACUCCAGAACUGCCUUCGAUACUGAGAGUCUUGAGUCCGGGAGAGGUGAGUGGAACUGCGAGUGUAGAGGUGAAAUUCGUAGAAUAUUCGCAAGAACACCAGCGGCGAAGGCGGCGCUCUGGGGCCGGUACUGACGCUGAGGAGCGAAAGCGUGGGGAGCGAACAGG
rnacentral:rRNA from 1 species